AAUGAACGCAGGCGGCAGGCCCAACACAUGCAAGUCGAGCGAGCGGCGGACGGGUGAGUCAUGUAUGGGGACUGCCCGAUAGCGGGGGAUAACUACUGGCAACGGUGGCUAAUACCGCAUACUAUCGGAUAACCCAUAUGGGAUUAGCUAGUAGGUGGGGUAAAGGCUCACCUAGGCGACGAUCUCUAGCUGGUCUGAGAGGAUGAUCAGCCACACUGGGAGUGAGACACGGCCCAGAGUCCUACGGAGGCAGCAGGGGGGAAUAGUGCACAAUGGGCGAAAGCCUGAUGGAGCCAUGCCGCGUGUAUGAAGAGGGCCGUAGGGUUGUAAAGUACGUUCAGCGGGGAGGCGUUACCCGCAGAAGAAGCAACGGCUAACGCCGUGCCAGCAGCCGCGGUAAUUC
rnacentral:rRNA from 1 species